rnacentral:rRNA from 1 species
UACGAAGGGGGCUAGCGUUGCUCGGAAUCACUGGGCGUAAAGAGCGUGUAGGCGGUCCGGUAAGUCGGCUGUGAAAGUCCAGGGCUCAACCCUGGGAUGCCGGUCGAUACUGCCGGACUAGAGUUCGGAAGAGGCGAGUGGAAUUCCCGGUGUAGCGGUGAAAUGCGUAGAUAUCAGGAGGAAUACCGGUGGCGAAAGCGACUCUCUGGACGGCAACUGACGCUGAGGCACGAAAGCGUGGGGAGCAAACAGG